UUUCUCUUUUCAUCNCAGAGCGAACUAUUCUUUCGCCUUUUACUAAAGAAUACCGUGUACUCGUCCCAUUCACCGGCAUACGCCUAUUUUUGGAGGAAUUUCUCAUCACUGAGAAGU